UUCUUGGCAAACACAGGAGGCAGAGCUCCGGGAAACUCAGCAGUGGGAAUCCACAGACCUUCUCUCUAGGAUGCUGCCAUAUAAUGACUCCUGCUACCUCCUUCCAUCCAUUUGUGCCUUGGUUCAACUUUCGGGUUCCCAGGAGGGAGGAUCCAAUUGGUAGAGGUUGGUCGGGUACUCACCCUUUGGAAAAUUCAGUAUGGCCAGGAGCUGGGAGGGUUUGUUGGUCAAGCCUCACUUACUACCUGUUGCCAUCACCAGGGAUGGGCCUCAAGACCCCAAGGAGUGGGGUCUGCCUUUAGGAGAGCUUGGAGGGAGAGAUGCCAGCAAAGAAAAGCCAGAGCUGCAGUAGCGUCGCCCUUCUUGAAGCAAUGGUCAUGGCUGUGACUCUGGGACUGCUUGACUGAAUCCUCAUUAGCCCAUGUAAGAACCUGGACCCAACAGGCUGGACCUUGUCCUGAUCUCUCAUCCCUGCUCCAAAUGGAGGCAACUCAUUGACAGCAGAUGGGCCUGCAAUGGGAAAGCCAUCGGGGGUUUCAGCAGAGGACCGCAUGUUCCCAUCUCACUAUGAACUCACCCUGGCUUUCGGCCGGAAUGAAUAGCGAAGAGGAUGUCCAGAGAGACCAGCUGGGAGACGGACACAGGGACCGGAGGAAGAGGAAGGUGAUAGCUGCCCCAAAGCAACCCAGGGCGGAAAUGGUGGACAGUGAUGAUGAGUCAUUUACUGUGGGUAGGAGCAUAAAUUGCUACAACCACGUUGGAAAAGAGCUGGACAUUUGUUCGAAGCCUACGUACUCUGGAUGACCCAGCAGUGCCCCUCCUAGGCAGACACACCCGAAAGACACUUCCACGCACGUGUGUGAGAGUUCACAGCAGCACCGUUCAUACCAGCCAAGGGUUCGACACAACCCAAAUGUCCAUCAGCCGUUAGAUGGAUAAACCACAGGAGAGUCUUGCACUGCAACGCUCCGCAGCACCAACGUGAAUGAGCUGCCCUUUCCUUCUGUUUAAACAAGCCAGUCUCAAAAACAGUGUCAAGGAAAAGAAGCCAGUGUCAGAAAUAAAAUUCAAAGGUUCUGAAGCUUAAAUGAUAUA
rnacentral:lncRNA from 1 species